CUCCCAAAGUACUGAAAUUACAGGUGUGAGCCAACAUGCCCGGCCAGUCCUCCUCCUUUCUUUUCCCUGCUUUAUUUCUUCCGUAGCCUGAUCAUGACCUGACACGUGUUUUGUUGAUGAUCUCCACUCGCAUGAAUAUAAGUUCCACAAAGGCAGGGGGUUUGUCUAUUAUGUUUACAUUCAUAGUAAUCCCCAGUGCCUAGGCAUAGAAGUAGGUGCUUAAGGUUUGUUGAAUGAAUACCUGAAAGAUGGCAGGAACUGAAGUUCUGGCUGAUGCAGGAAAGGGGAGUGGGCCAUGAGGUGAGGACAUCAUCGCUUUCCUUUUUUGCCAAAUGAAUGGGUUGGCCUAGACACCCAAGAGACCAUGAACCCCUGGGAAUUGCGUACAUCAUUGGGUGAGUCUCUGCCUCCAUGCAUUUUUCUGGAACAAGGGUCCCUACCUUCUUGCAGACAUUGAAGAGAGCCUGUGACCUCCCAGAGGCGCUAAGCACCCUUCCAGCUCUGACAUCGUAUAGUUGGCUCUAAUAGGUCUCAGUUUCCUGCCUUCCUGGGAAGUGGGGAAAGGCUGAGAGGCCCCGUGCUGGGGGUGAAGCUAAUUCAUUAGUUACGCCUCAACAAGGACCGGGUGCCUGCAGUGCCAGCGUGAUUCAUCAUGAUGAUUGCCCCACUGCCAGCCUGCGUGGGCCUGGAACGCCAGCACAUUUUACCUUUACCCACUGAGAAGGGCCUGGUGGGAGGUGAAGGUACAGGAUCUGCCGAGAGCAAGAAAAAGACUCUGAGAAAGAAGAGGGCUGGUCCUCCAUGCUCUCGGCCCCAGGAAGCUCUGCCAGGCUGGUGCCGGGGUGGAGAGGCUCAUGUGGGCUCAUGUGGUGCUGCCUGUGCUGAUGGAGCCCAAGAGGGCAGCCUGGCGCUGGGUGCCAGCCUGAGCAUGUGGCGAGGCUGGGCUGCUGAGCCUCCUCCUCCACAGCCAAUGUUCCCUCAAACUGCUUGGGGGUGGGGGGAGGGACUCAUCCUCAUCCCAUUAGCCUGGCUGGGUAUUCCCUACCUUUCUGGUCUCUGAGAGACUUACCUCUUCCAAGAAGUCCUCCCGAAUGAGUAGAAGGGAGAGAGCUGGAUUGGAACUUAAGUGACAUCUGGGAGGAGCCUGAAGCCCCUCCGGUUGGGGCUGAGACUCCUAUACCCUAGGUCUGGUGUCUGGGUUCCACCUGGGUCCUCUACCUUGGCCUGGAUUCCUGCUUUCGUUUUGCCAGUCUCUCCCAGGAUGGGGGUGCAUGGCUGGUUCGUGGCUCAGAGCAACAUCUGCCUCUGUGUCCCCCCAUCAUCUGUCCGCCCCCUAACACCUCUUGCCAUAUUAGAAUUGCUAUUGCUCUGUCCUUUCAUUCAUGUAUCCAACAAAUAUAUAUUAUCUGAAAAAAA
rnacentral:lncRNA from 1 species